GAAAACUUCUGGUUUUCUCUUUGCUCAAGCUCAACAGAGUACCAUUUUAGCAUCUUUGCUCAACCAAAAUCUCUUCUUUGCUCAAUCAAAAUCUCAAAUCCAUUGAAGAAACAAAUUUUCCUAAAUGGGUUAGCUGAAAUUUGUUAGGAAUUGAAUACUGUAAGGUUAAAGGACGAAGGAUAGAGUUCAAAAUUCUUGAGGUUAUAGAGACGAAGGGUACAUUUUCAUUUAGGAUGAUUGCUGUCGAAUAUGGUGCAGACAUAACCUAUGGAGAGUAGAUUAUUGAUCAUAAGAUCAUCAAAUGUGAGCAGCGAGUUAAUGGCUACCUAGUAUCAUAUGAGAUGACAAAACAAAAGAAGUUGCUAAACUCGGUGCAUCAAAAAUAUUUCUCAUGAGUUUCAUCCCUUAUUCCUUAGAUGUCUUAGGGACUACUGACAUAUUGGAGAAGGGAACUGACAAUGUUGUUUUCAUAACAUGCCCCGAGGAAAGAAAUCAAGUUGUAUUUCAGAUGGGCACUUCUGAUGCCAUGAGGGCUCUCAAAGCUGCUGAAAUAGUGCUAGGUCAUCAGAUUCAACCGCUUAUUAUAGCUGUGAUGAUGAAUCCAGCCCAGGUGAUCGAGGUUUUGCUAAUGAGCAUAGAUCGCUGCAUCAAAAAGUACAGUAUUCUUUGAGCAACCAAAUGAAUUGGUCAACUAAUACAUUGUAUAAUUCUGAAGGGACAUUCUUAAAUAAUGGGUUGACCAAGGAGGAGCAUAAAAACGUAGAAUGCAUUUUUUAUUUUUGAUCAUAUGUAUGAAUAUGAUAAUACUGAAGAACUAUGUUGUUCUUAACAUAUAUGCCGUUGACUUCUUAUUAAGCAAUGUACUUAUAAUAUUUGAUCGGAGGAUAAUUUUGUAAAACACUAC